AACGCGAAGAACCUUACCUGGGCUUGACAUUGAUAGAAUCCUAUAGAGAUAUGGGAGUGCCAGUUUACUGGAGCUUGAAAACAGGUGCUGCACGGCUGUCGUCAGCUCGUGUCGUGAGAUGUUGGGUUAAGUCCCGCAACGAGCGCAACCCUCGUCACUAGUUGCUAACGGUUCGGCCGAGCACUCUAGUGAGACUGCCUUCGCAAGGAGGAGGAAGGUGAGGACGACGUCAAGUCAUCAUGGCCCUUACGCCCAGGGCUACACACGUGCUACAAUGGUGUGUACAAAGAGAAGCAAUACCGCGAGGUGGAGCAAAUCUUUAAAACACAUCUCAGUUCGGAUUGUAGUCUGCAACUCGACUACAUGAAGCUGGAAUCGCUAGUAAUCGUAGAUCAGCAAUGCUACGGUGAAUACGUUCCCGGGUCUUGUACACACCG
rnacentral:rRNA from 1 species